CCUACGGGAGGCAGCAGUGAGGAAUAUUGGUCAAUGGGCGAGAGCCUGAACCAGCCAAGUCGCGUGAAGGAUGACGGCCCUACGGGUUGUAAACUUCUUUUGUCAGGGAGCAAUUGGGUCCACGCGUGGGCUUAGCGAGAGUAUCUGAAGAAAAAGAAUCGGCUAAAUCCGUGCCAGCAGCCGCGGUAAUACGGAGGAUGCGAGCGUUAUCCGGAUUUAUUGGGUGUAAAGGGGGCGCAGACGGCGAUGCAAGACAGGAGUGAAAGCCCGGGGCCCAACCCCGGGACUGCUCUUGGAACGGCGUGGCUGGAGUGCAGGAGGGGCAGGCGGAAUUCCUGGUGUAGCGGUGAAAUGCGUAGAUAUCAGGAGGAACCCCGAUGGCGAAGGCAGCCUGCUGAACUGCAACUGACGUUGAGGCCCGAAAGCGUGGGGAGCAAACAGGAUUAGAUACCCCUGUAGUC
rnacentral:rRNA from 1 species